UACGGGGGGGGCAAGCGUUGUUCGGAAUUACUGGGCGUAAAGGGCUCGUAGGUGGCCAACUAAGUCAGACGUGAAAUCCCCGGGCUUAACCUGGGAACUGCAUUGGUGACUGGCAGGCUUUGAGUGUGGCAGAGGGAGGUAGAAUUCCACGUGUAGCAGUGAAAUGCGUAGAUAUGCGGAGGAACACCGAUGGCGAAGGCAAUCUCCUGGGCCUGCACUGACGCUCAUGCACGAAAGCGUGGGGAGCAAACAGG
rnacentral:rRNA from 1 species